rnacentral:lncRNA from 1 species
UGUAAAUAUAAGAAGCUAUUUUCAACUGAAAAGUCCAUAGAAGAGAUUUUGGAACAAAGAGGAGAAAAUCAACAGCAUCUAAUUGUGAGGAGCAGAUGAUACUUCUCCAGAUGGAACUCAAAUGUGAAAUUCCAGAAGUUUGACUUUGGACUAGGCGACUACUUCAUCAAGUCGGCUUUUCACUUGGAAAGAAGAACCAGAAAAUGAACCUGGCACUAGAAGAAGCCCGUGUUCCUUCCACAGCUGGGAAAAGCAAUGGGCCUCUCUAGAGCAAGAUUUACCAGAGAUUCAUGUGAAGGCACA